UAGGGAAUCUUCCGCAAUGGACGCAAGUCUGACGGAGCAACGCCGCGUGAGUGAAGAAGGAUUUCGGUUCGUAAAACUCUGUUGUUAGAGAAGAACAGCGCAUAGAGUAACUGUUAUGCGUGUGACGGUAUCUAACCAGAAAGCCACGGCUAACUACGUGCCAGCAGCCGCGGUAAUACGUAGGUGGCAAGCGUUGUCCGGAUUUAUUGGGCGUAAAGCGAGCGCAGGCGGUCAAUUAAGUCUGAUGUGAAAGCCCCCGGCUCUACCGGGGAGGGUCAUUGGAAACUGGUUGACUUGAGUGCAGAAGAGGAGAGUGGAAUUCCAUGUGUAGCGGUGAAAUGCGUAGAUAUAUGGAGGAACACCAGUGGCGAAGGCGACUCUCUGGUCUGUAACUGACGCUGAGGCUCGAAAGCGUGGGUAGCAAACAGG
rnacentral:rRNA from 1 species